rnacentral:rRNA from 1 species
GAUGAACGCUGGCGGCGUGCUUAACACAUGCAAGUCGAGCGAGAAGUUUUGAAAAGAUUCUUCGGAUGAAAUUUAAAAUGGAAAGCGGCGGACGGGUGAGUAACGCGUAGGCAACCUGCCCCAUACAAAGGGAUAGCAUUUGGAAACGAAUAUUAAUACCUUAUGAAACUUAACUAGUGCAUGCUAGGUAGGUCAAAGAUUUAUCGGUAUGGGAUGGGCCUGCGUCUGAUUAGCUAGUUGGUGAGGUAACGGCUCACCAAGGCGACGAUCAGUAGCCGACCUGAGAGGGUGAACGGCCACAUUGGAACUGAGACACGGUCCAAACUCCUACGGGAGGCAGCAGUGGGGAAUAUUGCACAAUGGGGGAAACCCUGAUGCAGCAACGCCGCGUGAACGAUGAAGGCCUUUGGGUCGUAAAGUUCUGUUCUAGGUGAUGAAAACUGACAGUAACCUAGGAGAAAGCCCCGGCGAACUCCGU